rnacentral:tRNA from 1 species
GCCCUUAUAGCUCAGUGGUAGAGCGCUUGUCUCGUAAACAAGAGGUCCGCCGUUCGAUCCGGCGUGAGGGCA